CCCCUUACUUAUAUUGGCCAGUCUUUAUUACUUCAUAUAAUCUUAUAUUAUUGAUUCUUAGAGAAUGAUAUCUAUAUAGAAGCAUUGAUGUAUAUCUAAGACCUCUCAUUGAUGAGCUGAAAUUCUUAUGGUCCGAUGGCAUACGUAUAUUUGAUGUAUCGAAGAAGUAAAAUUUUAUAAUGAAGGCUGCAUUGAUGUGGACUAUUAGCGAUUUUCUUACUAUGGGAUGC
rnacentral:lncRNA from 1 species